GUAGGUGGCAAGUGUUGUCCGGAAUUAUUGGGCGUAAAGCGCGCGCAGGUGGGUUCUUUAAGUCUGAUGUGAAAGCCCCCGGGCUCAACCGGGGAGGGUCAUUGGAAACUGGGGAACUUGAGUGCAGGAGAGGAAAGUGGAAUUCCACGUGUAGCGGUGAAAUGCGUAGAUAUGUGGAGGAACACCAGUGGCGAAGGCGACUUUCUGGCCUGUAACUGACACUGAGGCGCGAAAGCGUGGGGAGCAAACAGGAUUAGAUACCCUGGUAGUCCACGCCGUAAACGAUGAGUGCUAAGUGUUGGGGGGUUUCCGCCCCUCAGUGCUGCAGCUAACGCAUUAAGCACUCCGCCUGGGGAGUACGGUCGCAAGACUG
rnacentral:rRNA from 1 species